GGAGAGCGCUCUGGGGGUCUCAGCACAAAACCAGCUCUUGAGCCCUUUGGCUUCCUUCAAGCGAGCGCAGUCCGUCCAUCCCUCCUGGCCCACCCAGCCGCAAGGGAUGCUGUGAAAAGAGCCGCUGUUUGCCGCCUCCUGCCCGCCGUCCAGAGGGCUCCGCCCGUAGAGGUCAACUCCCCUCAUUCUUCUUUCCAUCUUGCCCUCCCUCCGCCGAUCCCAGACUCGAAUCUUCUCCUGACUCCCGCCGCAGUCAGAGAGAGCGCAUCUGCUGCGUUGCCCUUAAAUCUACGCCCGGAGCGGGCUCAGACCCGAACUCUGCUCUUCAGAGCCGGAGGAAGCCCGAGCAAGCAGCCUUUACUCUCCGCAGUAAAAUCAUAGCCAGACCAGAUGGGCCCCAGCUCUCCCGGGACUCGGCAGGUGCUGUUGAGUUAAUUUUUCUGCAAUACAAAGAAGGAGGACCCGGUCGGCCUGGGAUUCUGAUCUUUUCCCAAAUUUUCCUAAUCAAAACCGGGCUAUCAAAGGCAUAUACGUGUGUUUGUCGGACAAACAAACACGCAUGAUUAUAUCCGCUUUUAUAUCUGCUAGAUUCCUUCUCUGACAGCAGGGAAUGAGUGACAAAGAUUUCUGCCGCAGAACACUCAUGGCGCGGUCCUUAAAGACUUGCCUUUUCUUACAAAUGUCUUAGGAAGGGAUUCGGGGCGAACCAACUCAGUUAAUUGCCUUCAGUAAAAUAACACGAUUGCGAAAUU
rnacentral:lncRNA from 1 species